AUCUUUUUAGUGGAGGGCGAUAGCGCAGGCGGGAGCGCUAAACAAGGGCGCGAUAGGGUUUUCCAAGCGAUCUUGCCCUUAAAGGGUA
rnacentral:tRNA from 1 species